AUGCUAUGCGCCUCCACCUCCUCUUCCAAUUCCCGUAGCACCCUGCCCUCUCCUUUCCUCUCUGUCUCUCCAGAAACUCUCUCCAAUGGUGCUGCAUGGACGACAGCGCUCGAUUCCAGUGACACGAACCAUCCCCGUCCAUUUCCUUGCGCCAGGACCUACUCCUCCAUGCUGCAACUCCAUUCAGAGAAGAAGGAACGUGUUCCAUCGACCGCACACGAAGAAUUUUACAUGUCCGUCCACACUGUUCGUCAAGUUCAUCGCAUCGAUUCGUCAAGCUCGGUGAGCACCUCUCCAAUUCCUUUUGCGGGCAUCGUCCUUGAAUCAGUUCUCAUCUAUUUGACAUCAUGGUUCGGCCUAUUUCUUUAG
rnacentral:rRNA from 1 species